UACGGGGGGGGCAAGCGUUGUUCGGAAUUACUGGGCGUAAAGGGCUCGUAGGCGGCCAACUAAGUCGGAUGUGAAAGCCCACGGCUCAACCGUGGAAGUGCCUUUGAUACUGCGAGUCUUGAGGGAGGUAGGGGCGUGCGGAACUUCCGGUGGAGCGGUGAAAUGCGUAGAUAUCGGAAGGAACACCGGUGGCGAAAGCGGCGCGCUGGACCUCUUCUGACGCUGAGGCGCGAAAGCCAGGGGAGCAAACGGG
rnacentral:rRNA from 1 species